ACACGUAUGAAAGUCAAGCUGAAAGACUUUACUCAAUGAUGUAAGUGGUGGUGCAUGGUCGUUCUUAGUUCGUGGAUUGAUUUGUCUGGUCGAUUCCGAUAACGAGCGAGACCCCGGUGUUCCUAAUAGGGGUACCAGCCCGUCCGGUCGCAAGGCUGGUCAGCUGGUACCUAAGAUGAACUUCUUAGACACAUCAGGGCCGACAAGGUCCUUGAAAUGGGUUAAUAACAGGUCAGUCAUGCCCUUAGAUGUUCUGGGCCGCACGCGCGUUACAAUGGCACGUAAAGCGAGUGCUUCUCAAGGCGUUUCCCGGGCCUAAAGGUCCGGGUAACCCAUAAUCCCUGCUUUGACUGGGAUAGAUCUUUGCAAUUAUUGGUCUCUAACGAGGAAUUUUUAGUAAGCACGGGUCAUUAACCCGUGCUUA
rnacentral:rRNA from 1 species